UGACAAGUCGUUAUAAAAGUCUCCAAUAAAAAUCAAAAAUAAAAAAUCAUGUGGACCAACAAUAUAUUUAGUAUAUUUGUUUAUGAUAAUGUUAUUAUUAAUGUGAAGAUGUCGGCAGACAUUUAUUGAGGAAAAAAGUUGAGGGAAAUAAUUGAGGAUAGAUGUGUUAUUUAUUAAAUUUUGAAGAGAGAGGGGGAUGGGUAGGAUAGGGAAAUUGGAGAUCGGAUUCAACAAAAGUCGAGUAUUAUGCUUCGAUCUUGCCAAAAUCUGAUGAUGAUUUGGGUGUAGUAGUAAGCCAUGCUUGUAUAUUUUUUGCUUUGAGCUCAAUCAAGCUGAAAAAAUUGUUUGCUUCAGAAUGAAUUCCCUUGCAGCCGUAUUGGGCUACCAAAGUUGGAAAUUUUUUAUGCCAUAUCCAAUACCAACCUCAAUGGUUUUUUUCCUGAAUUUUGUAACAAUAGCUUACUUGAACAUGUGAAUUAGCUUAGACAGGUUUGUUUAGGAUUGUACUAGAAUCUAUAAGCAACCUAAAACCAUUUGAUAUUAUUGGUCUUUCACGAUGUUUUUUCUUGGGUACUCAUUAUGUCAUUGAAGUCAUUUAUUUGUCUCAUAUUCAAAACCAACAACGAAAUGCUUAAGCUACACAGACAAAGAGGAAGGAUUCCACCAAUGUUGUUUAGAGGCAAAUCCGACAUUCGAAAAGGUUUCACUUCACAUAUCAAUGGUUUUGUUUGUCAUGUCAGCUUAUUAUUCAAGACUCCACAAGCAAAUGUGGUUUAUAUUUUCAUAGUUUGUUCAUACGAUUCAUCAAGUUUGGUCACCCUGCCUAGCCAAUUUUGCAAGUGCCCCUUUGCAAAUCUGUAACAUCGAGUUCCAAAACAUUGAGAUUCAAAAAAAUUACCAAUGAAAGAACAAACCCUAUGAACUUAUUGCUAGUAAAGACCCAAGGCAGUGUAUUGUGUGAAGUUAGAGAAUGAAUUUGGAAUGUGCCUAAAGAAAGAGUUUAAGGUAAGGCUUAAUAAUAUUGAAUGGUUUAGAUUGCUUAUGGAUUCUGGUACAAUCCUAAAGAAAUCUAUGUAAGUUAGAUUCACAUGUUCAAGUAAGCUGUUGUUAUGAAACUCGGGAAAGAAACCAGUGAGGUUGGUAUUGGAUGUCACAUUAAGAAUUUUCAACUUUGGUAGCUCAAAUAUGGCUGUAGGGAAGUCAUUCCGAAGCAAAAAACUUAGCUUGAUUAAUCUCGAAGUGAAAAAUCCAUACAAGAGGAUUGGCCAAGAAACAAGAUACAAAUCAUAUGGCAGGAUUGGGCAAGAAAUGAGGUACAUUUAUAGUCUAGCAUUGUAGAUUGCAAUGUAGUAAAUAGUAAUUGUGAUUGGUUUUCCAACAUUUGAUCUAGUUUGUUGUCUCAAAACAAUUGUUGUUAGGAUAACUAUGUAGGGAAUGCAUGUAAAAAGUAGUUUACAUAGGAAAUAGAAAUGAACUUUUUAUUUAAAAGUUAAGUCAUUUGGGUGGAA